rnacentral:tRNA from 1 species
GCCUGGGUGGCUCAGUGGUUGAGCAUCUGUCUUUUGCUCAGGUCAUGAUCCCAGGGUCCUGGGAUCGAGUCCCACAUCGGGCU